CUUUCCGGUAGAUCGGUACCGGUAAUCAGCAGUCCUGUUACGCCUGCGGCACGGGCGCGUUCCACCACCGCCGGACGGUC
rnacentral:tRNA from 1 species